rnacentral:lncRNA from 1 species
CAAAAAAUCUACUUAUUAAAAGUUGUUGGACCUAUUCACUAGCCUUAACUAUUUUUUUGGUCUCACCUUAUAUUUCUCUAACUAUACACUAAUCAAUUACCUUAUAUUUCUCUAACUAGAAAAUAACCAAUGCUCUUAUUUAAUACUCAACUUACUAUAAUACACCAAAGAUUUAUACAUCAAUAUUAUUAAUUCAGAA